GUGAGUUGAUGAUUGGUUAGUACAGUACAGAGAUGAACUUGGGUUAUCUGUGAGAUUUUAUUUGGAAUUUGCUAAGAACAUUUUAAGUUGCAAUUGCAGUAACUGUAUUUGGCGAGAGGAUACAUGCGAGAGAAGCGAGAGAGGCUGUAGAAACAGAACUCAGACCUGAAAUAGCACACCAUGACCGGCUCUCAUCUCCACUGGGAUGUCCUCUUCAGUGCCAUCUGGGGGCGGAGUCACUGGCUGACUUGUUCCCGUUCAUCCUUGUGCAAUGGGAGUAAACUCUGUGGGCUAUACUGUCAGGGUGGUUGCGGUUGGGUAGUUGACGUGACAUAGCCUUUUUGUGGAUCCAAGUUUUAAACACAAAUAAAUAAAAUUUCAAUUUGUCCAAAAUGUUUUUAUAUUGUUCAGAACAUGCUGCUUUAUGUGAACAUACUGAAUAUUCAUGCAAUUCAUCACUUACUUAAAAAAAAAAGCUCAUAUGGUGUGACUGUCCCAAGCACGUUUCACAAAGUUCACUCUUUAAUAAACCUAUGGAAAAUAAAUGCAACUCUCCUCAAUAAAUUACAAAAUGAUGACACGUGUCUAUUUGUGAGUCUGAUAUUUUUAAAGUCCAGGAAUAAUAUUUUGAGUCAGCUCUGAUCAAAAAGAUUUUGUCCCAGAAAUGGAUAUCAUAUGGUGUGACAUUAUAUUGUGAUAUUUAAAAGGGCAAUUGUUUGUAGACCCUCGAGGAGGAGUGGUC
ensembl:lncRNA